GAUGAACGCUGGCGGCGUGCCUAAUACAUGCAAGUCGAGCGAACGGACGAGAAGCUUGCUUCUCUGAUGUUAGCGGCGGACGGGUGAGUAACACGUGGAUAACCUACCUAUAAGACUGGGAUAACUUCGGGAAACCGUAGCUAAUACCGGAUAAUAUUUUGAACCGCAUGGUUCAAAAGUGAAAGACGGUCUUGCUGUCACUUAUAGAUGGAUCCGCGCUGCAUUAUCUAGUUGGUAAGGUAACGGCUUACCAAGGCAACGAUGCAUAGCCGACCGGAGAGGGGGAUCGGCCACACUGGAACUGAGACAGGGUCCAGACUCCUACGGGAGGCAGCAGUAGGGAAUCUUCCGCAAUGGGCGAAAGCCUGGCGGAGCAACGCCGCGUGAGUGAUGAAGGCCUUCGGAUCGUAAAACUCUGUUAUUAGGGAAGAACAUAUGUGUAAGUAACUGUGCACAUCUUGACGGUACCUAAUCAGAAAGCCACGGCUAACUACGUG
rnacentral:rRNA from 1 species